rnacentral:sRNA from 1 species
ACUGGGCGCAGUGGCUUACUCCUGUAAUCCCAGCAGCUUGGGAAGUUGAGGCAGGAGGAUCUUGAGUUGAAAGCCAGUCCAGGAAUGGUGAAGCACUAAGCAACUCAGUGAGACCCUGUCUCUA